rnacentral:rRNA from 1 species
UUGGGUUAAGUCCCGCAACGAGCGCAACCCCUAUUGUUAGUUGCCAUCAUUCAGUUGGGCACUCUAGCGAGACUGCCGGUAAUAAACCGGAGGAAGGUGGGGAUGACGUCAAAUCAUCAUGCCCCUUAUGACCUGGGCUACACACGUGCUACAAUGGUUGGUACAACGAGUUGCGAGUCGGUGACGGCGAGCUAAUCUCUUAAAGCCAAUCUCAGUUCGGAUUGUAGGCUGCAACUCGCCUACAUGAAGUCGGAAUCGCUAGUAAUCGCGGAUCAGCACGCCGCGGUGAAUACGUUCCCGGGCCUU